rnacentral:rRNA from 1 species
UAGUGGCGGACGGGUGAGUAACGCGUGGGAAUCUGCCCUCAGGAGGGGGAUAACGGUUGGAAACGACCGCUAAUACCCCAUAUGCCGAGAGGUGAAACGAAAUUCGCCUGAGGAUGAGCCCGCGUCUGAUUAGCUAGUUGGUGGGGUAAAGGCCUGCCAAGGCAUCGAUCAGUAGCUGGUCUGAGAGGAUGAUCAGCCACACUGGGACUGAGACACGGCCCAGACUCCUACGGGAGGCAGCAGUGGGGAAUUUUCCGCAAUGGGCGCAAGCCUGACGGAGCAACGCCGCGUGAGGGAUGAAGGCCUCUGGGCUGUAAACCUCUUUUCUCAAGGAAGAAGAACUGACGGUACUUGAGGAAUAAGCCACGGCUAA